AAGACUAUAAGAGAUCAUUUCUAUAGUUCUUGAGAAAUGUGUUUCUGAGGUGUAUGGUCCUGCAAACUACAAUGAUGAGAGGAGAUAUUCCUUCCUGAGUGUGAAGCUGGCAGAAAAUAAUGAUUUUAUUGUAUCUUUUCUGUCACUGAUGAAUGUUUGCUGCUUUGUAAUGGAGCAUUGAUGGAAGGGGUAUGUUCAGAGUGGU